rnacentral:tRNA from 2 species
GCCGACGUAGCUCAGAAGGUUAGAGCGUUUGCAUGGUAAGCAAAAGGUCCGCGGUUCGAUUCCGCGCGUCGGCUCCA